AUUGAACGCUGGCGGCAGGCUUAACACAUGCAAGUCGAGCGGGGUGAUGUAGCUUGCUACAUUACCUAGCGGCGGACGGGUGAGUAAUGCUUAGGAAUCUGCCUAUUAGUGGGGGACAACAUUCCGAAAGGAAUGCUAAUACCGCAUACGCCCUACGGGGGAAAGCAGGGGAUCUUCGGACCUUGCGCUAAUAGAUGAGCCUAAGUCAGAUUAGCUAGUUGGUGGGGUAAAGGCCUACCAAGGCGACGAUCUGUAGCGGGUCUGAGAGGAUGAUCCGCCACACUGGGACUGAGACACGGCCCAGACUCCUACGGGAGGCAGCAGUGGGGGAUAUUGGACAAUGGGCGAAAGCCUGAUCCAGCCAUGCCGCGUGUGUGAAGAAGGCCUUUUGGUUGUAAAGCACUUUAAGCGAGGAGGAGGCUACUUGGAUUAAUACUCUAGGAUAGUGGACGUUACUCGCAGAAUAAGCACCGGCUAACUCUGUGCCAGCAGCCGCCGUAA
rnacentral:rRNA from 1 species